AUACAGAGGGUGCGAGCGUUAAUCGGAAUUACUGGGCGUAAAGCGCGCGUAGGCGGCUUAUUAAGUCAGAUGUGAAAUCCCCGGGCUCAACCUGGGAACUGCAUCUGAUACUGGUAAGCUAGAGUUUGGGAGAGGGAAGUAGAAUUUCAGGUGUAGCGGUGAAAUGCAUAGAGAUCUGAAGGAAUACCAGUGGCGAAGGCGACUUCCUGGCCUAAAACUGACGCUGAGGUGCGAAAGCGUGGGUAGCAAACGGGAUUAGAUACCCCGGUAGUCC
rnacentral:rRNA from 1 species